rnacentral:tRNA from 1 species
UCAUGGCUGAGUGGUAAAGCACUUGGCUUCCAAACCAAGGGGUCUCAGAUUUGAAUCCUGGUGA